UGAUUGAUAGCUCAUUAGGUAGAGCACCGAGUGUUAAUUCGGCUGUAGCUGGUUCGAGUCCAGCUCAAUCCA
rnacentral:tRNA from 2 species